rnacentral:rRNA from 1 species
CCUGGUGGUUCUGGCGGGGUGGCUGCACCCGUUCCCAUUCCGAACACGGCCGUGAAACGCCCCAGCGCCGAUGGUACUUCGUCUUAAGACGCGGGAGAGUAGGUCGCUGCCAGGUCUGCAAAACGCAAGAGAAACAACCGCCGCUCCCCUUCGAGGCAUUGCCGAGAAGGAUAAGGUAGCGGCGAAAACAAACCGAAAUCUUCUCGACACACACUUCGGCCCUGCCGAACACGGGCCGCCACCAAGCGGCCCUUUUGUUUUGCUAGACUGAAAAUAAU